rnacentral:rRNA from 1 species
AAAUGAAUUGACGGGGGCCCGCACAAGCAGUGGAGUAUGUGGUUUAAUUCGACGAUACGCGAAAAACCUUACCAGGGCUUGACAUCCUACUAACGAAGCAGAGAUGCAUUAGGUGCCCUUCGGGGAAAGUAGAGACAGGUGGUGCAUGGUUGUCGUCAGCUCGUGUCGUGAGAUGUUGGGUUAAGUCCCGCAACGAGCGCAACCCUUAUGGUUAGUUGCUACGCAAGAGCACUCUAGCCAGACUGCCGUUGACAAAACGGAGGAAGGUGGGGACGAUGUCAAAUCAUCAUGCCCCUUACGUCCUGGGCUACACACGUACUACAAUGGCCGUUAACAACGGGAUACAAUGGCGCAAGCCGGAGUCAAACCUCAAAAACGGCCUCAGUUCAGAUUGCAGGCUGCAACUCGCCUGCAUGAAGUCGGAAUUGCUAGUAAUCGCGGAUCAGCAUGCCGCGGUGAAUACGUUCCCGGGCCUUGUACACACCGCCCGU